rnacentral:rRNA from 1 species
AACGAACGCUGGCGGCAUGCCUAACACAUGCAAGUCGAACGAGACCUUCGGGUCUAGUGGCGCACGGGUGCGUAACGCGUGGGAACCUUCCUUUAGGUUCGGAAUAACUCAGAGAAAUUUGAGCUAAUACCGGACGAUGUCUUCGGACCAAAGAUUUAUCGCCUUUAGAUGGGCCCGCGUUGGAUUAGCUAGUUGGUGGGGUAAAGGCCUACCAAGGCGACGAUCCAUAGCUGGUCUGAGAGGAUGAUCAGCCACACUGGGACUGAGACACGGCCCAGACUCCUACGGGAGGCAGGAGUGGGGAAUAUUGGACAGUGGGCGAAAGCCUGAUCCAGCAAUGCCGCGUGAGUGAUGAAGGCCUUAGGUUUGUAAAGCUCUUUUACCCGAGAUGAUAAUGACAGUAUCGGGAGAAUAAGCUCCGGCUAACUCCGUG